GGAGUCGCUCAGGCAGUCGCUGUCCGCUUUGGCGGAGGGAGGAAAGUCCGGGCUUCAGAGGGCAGGAUGCUGGCUAACGGCCAGGCGCUAUAAGUCUUGCGCCGCAAGACCCAAGGCGACGGAAAGCGCCACAGAAAAUAAACCGCCAAUGGCUCUUGAGAAAGAGAUCAGGCAAGGGUGAAACGGCAGGGUAAGAGCCUACCGCAGUCCUGGCAACAGGACUGGCAGGGCAAGCCCCAUCCGAAGCAAGACCAAACAGGAGUUGAAGACGCGGCCCGCGUUGCUCCGGGUAGGUCGCUAGAGCCUUGCAGCAAUGCAAAGCCCAGAGGAAUGGCUGCCGGGGGAAACCCUUACAGAACCCGGCUUAUCGGGCGGCUCCCACC
rnacentral:RNase_P_RNA from 1 species